rnacentral:rRNA from 1 species
UAAGUCUAAUGUGAAAGCCUUCGGCUCAACCGAAGAAGUGCAUUGGAAACUGGGAGACUGAGUGCAGAAGAGGACAGUGGAACUCCAUGUGUAGCGGUGAAAUGCGUAGAUAUAUGGAAGAACACCAGUGGCGAAGGCGGCUGUCUGGUCUGUAACUGACGCUGAGGCUCGAAAGCAUGGGUAGCGAACAGGAUUAGAUACCCUGGUAGUCCAUGCCGUAAACGAUGAUUACUAAGUGUUGGAGGGUUUCCGCCCUUCAGUGCUGCAGCUAACGCAUUAAGUAAUCCGCCUGGGGAGUACGACCGCAAGGUUGAAACUCAAAAGAAUUGACGGGGGCCCGCACAAGCGGUGGAGCAUGUGGUUUAAUUCGAAGCUACGCGAAGAACCUUACCAGGUCUUGACAUCUUCUGCCAACCUAAGAGAUUAGGCGUUCCCUUCGGGGACAGAAUGACAGGUGGUGCAUGGUUGUCGUCAGCUCGUGUCGUGAGAUGUUGGGUUAAGUCCCGCAACGAGCGCAACCCUUAUUACUAGUUGCCAGCAUUCAGUUGGGCACUCUAGUGAGACUGCCGGUGACAAACCGGAGGAAGGUGGGGACGACGUCAAAUCAUCAUGCCCCUUAUGACCUGGGCUACACACGUGCUACAAUGGAUGGUACAACGAGUUGCGAAACCGCGAGGUUUAGCUAAUCUCUUAAAACCAUUCUCAGUUCGGACUGUAGGCUGCAACUCGCCUACACGAAGUCGGAAUCGCUAGUAAUCGCGGAUCAGCAUGCCGCGGUGAAUACGUUCCCGGGCCUUGUACACACCGCCCGUCACACCAUGAGAGUUUGUAACACCCAAAGCCGGUGGGGUAACCUUUUAGGAGCUAGCCGUCUA